GCAAACUUGGUCAUUUAGAGGAAGUAAAAGUCGUAACAAGGUCUCCGUUGGUGAACCAGCGGAGGGAUCAUUACAAAACGAGAGUUCUCGCGACUCUUCAACCCAAUGUGAACAUACCAAAUGUCAGUUGCUUCGGCGGGAGGCCCCUGGGAGGGGCCCCGGGGCCCGGUCCUGAGCCGGGCUCCCGCCGGAGGAGCGCCAACACAAACUCUCUUGUUGUUUCCCAGAGGCACAUCCGAGUCUUAAAAAAAAACAAGUCAAAACUUUCAACAACGGAUCUCUUGGUUCUGGCAUCGAUGAAGAACGCAGC
rnacentral:misc_RNA from 1 species